CCGUGCUAAGCGGGGAGUUAGCGGUGCCCUGUACUUGCAAUCCGCUAUAGCGAGGCCUAAUUCCUCUUUUGAGGCCAAGAUUUUUAUUGAUUAUAAUAGUUUUAUCUAUUGAUGGGGCGACCCUAUGCGGCGAAUGUCUGCAAAUUCCGUCAGGACUGAAAAGUAGCAGCGGUAAACAGAAUUAUUCGGGUGCCAUAGGAUUAUCGGUCCUGAGGCUGAAUUUAUUAUAUUGAUAUUGAUUGAGGUCUAUUUAGGGGUGCACGG
rnacentral:SRP_RNA from 1 species